GGGGGUGUGGCCAAACGGCAAAGGCGGCCGGCUUAAACCCGGCGACACCUGUGGGUUCGAAUCCCAUCACCCCCA
rnacentral:tRNA from 1 species